rnacentral:pre_miRNA from 1 species
ACAAGUAUCACCUGGGAAUCUCAUUAAAAUGCAGUUUCUGAUUCGGUAGGUGAGGCCUGAGACUUUGCAUUUCUCAACAGCUUCCAGGGGAUGUUUAU